rnacentral:rRNA from 1 species
AGUGAACGCUGGCGGUAGGCCUAACACAUGCAAGUCGAACGGCAGCACAGUAAGAGCUUGCUCUUACGGGUGGCGAGUGGCGGACGGGUGAGGAAUACAUCGGAACCUACUUUUUCGUGGGGGAUAACGUAGGGAAACUUACGCUAAUACCGCAUACGACCUACGAGUGAAAGCAGGGGAUCUUCGGACCUUGCGCGAUUGAAUGAGCCGAUGUCGGAUUAGCUAGUUGGCGGGGUAAAGGCCCACCAAGGCGACGAUCCGUAGCUGGUCUGAGAGGAUGAUCAGCCACACUGGAACUGAGACACGGUCCAGACUCCUACGGGAGGCAGCAGUGGGGAAUAUUGGACAAUGGGCGCAAGCCUGAUCCAGCCAUACCGCGUGGGUGAAGAAGGCCUUCGGGUUGUAAAGCCCUUUUGUUGGGAAAGAAAAGCAGCAGGUUAAUACCCCGCUGUUCUGACGGUACCCAAAGAAUAAGCACCGGCUAACUUCGUG